AUUGAACGUUGGCGGCGUGGAUUAGGCAUGCAAGUCGAGCGGGACUCCGCAAGGGGUUCAGCGGCGAAAGGGAGAGGAACGCGUGGGUACCUACCCCCAGACCUGGGAUAGCUACGGGAAACUGUAGGUAAUACCAGAUAAUGUCUCCGGACCAAAGGUGUGAUUCCGUCCGGGGAGGGGUCCGCGACCUAUUAGCUAGUUGGCGGGGUAAUGGCCCACCAAGGCAAAGAUGGGUACUGGGUGUGAGAGCACGACCCAGCUCACUGGGACUGAGACACUGCCCAGACACCUACGGGUGGCUGCAGUCGAGAAUCUUCGGCAAUGGACGCAAGUCUGACCGAGCGACGCCGCGUGCGGGAUGAAGGCCUUCGGGUUGUAAACCGCUGUCGGAGGGGAUGAAUGGCGUGAGGGUAAUCUCUCACGUUUGACAGAUCCUAGGAGGAAGUACGGGCUAAGUUCGUGCCAGCAGCCGCGGUAAGAC
rnacentral:rRNA from 1 species